AAAGCUCUUAGAAACUGUAUUUCUUGUAGGACUUUUAAUAUUUUACUAUACUCCUUGUUCACUUUCUCAGCUGUGAUUUUCAAGAUUUAUUUGACACUAUUCUCUGUUUUUCUGCUGUACACAGUGUUUGUGGUCUACGGCAACCAAUCCCCUUGGGCUUUCUUUUCCUUUAAUUUGCAUAAACACAGGCAUCAUAUGAAUAUUCAGUGAGUGGCUUUGCAUUAAGUAAGUGCCCUUAAUCAGCUUUUCAGUUCAGUUUUAUUGGUUGCACACACAGUCAGUUAUUUCAUCCAGAAAAUCUGAAGGCCCUGCAAAGCUAACCAGGUAACCUGAGAAUGCAGAGGACUACUCAGAGUCCCAGCAAUAGCGUGAGGAUCAAGGGAAGCUGCGUAGAUAUCUGCUUUUGAAACAUGGGCUUUCAGAAACACAGAGUGCCUGAUUUCCAGCAGUGACAUCUCUUUGGCCGAUGCAAUUUCACACCAGCUGUGCAUACCAGCUUUUCACUGCAGCUAAUAGGCAGCAGACCCUGGUGUGUCACAGGAGCUUUCACAGGGAGCUGCACACCAGGGAAAGAAAGUUUUGCAGGGAUGUUUGAAGACAUCAUUUUGAAACAUGAGAAAAAAAGACUGAGAAAAAUGCCUGCAGGAAUAAGUGUGCGUUAUUUGUCAGUAUGUGAGGUAGGGGUGUCAUUUUAUUUAUUUGUUUAUUCUCAGUGAUUAUAAAAUUGUGUUCAUCCCUGCAAUAUAAAGGGUUGCAAAGUUAAUC